rnacentral:rRNA from 1 species
UACGGAAGGCAGCAGUGGGGAAUAUUGCACAAUGGGCGCAAGCCUGAUGCAGCCAUGCCGCGUGUAUGAAGAAGGCCUUCGGGUUGUAAAGUACUUUCAGUCGUGAGGAAGGUGUUAAGGUUAAUAACCUUAGCAAUUGACGUUAGCGACAGAAGAAGCACCGGCUAACUCCGUGCCAGCAGCCGCGGUAAUACGGAGGGUGCGAGCGUUAAUCGGAAUUACUGGGCGUAAAGGGCACGCAGGCGGUUAAUUAAGUUGGAUGUGAAAUCCCCGGGCUUAACCUGGGAAUGGCAUUCAAGACUGGUUAGCUAGAGUCUUGUAGAGGGGGUAGAAUUCCAUGUGUAGCGGUGAAAUGCGUAGAGAUGUGGAGGAAUACCGGUGGGCGAAGGCGGGCCCCCUGGGACAAAGGACUGACGCUCAUGUGCGAAAGCGUGGGGAGCAAACAGGGAUUAGAUACC